UCCCUAGUUUAUGUUUUGAUCAGAGUUGUGAUUAAAGAUUUUCAGAUUUCAAAGUGGGCCACGGCAUUCUUGAGUUUGGGAACCGCUGUUCUACAGUUAAUCUUACAUAGUAUAAAGAUAUUCUUAAAUUGUGAAGCAGUGUCAAAUAAAAAUUUGAAUGGCGCUGUUAAGAGAUUUUCUUAUUUUAUCUCCGUUUAUUACUGGUUUAAAUGGCUAUAGAAUGUUUUCUGAUCGUGCUUGUUCUAUAAAUAAAGAUAAUUAUCCUGAUAGCCUUCUUUGAUCAUUUCAGUAAGAAAAUAUGCAUCGGCGAGGACUCUUAAAUCAGAAGGAUAAUGGCAAAUUUUACAUUGAUACUGGAGGGGACAAAGUGGGACUUGACGUCAAAUAUGUCAAAGCCUUAAGUAAGUUGAAUGUUUGGAUUUUGUAAUCCUAAUUAAAAUAUGAAUAAGCUUGACAGAUGUUUUUUCUGUCUGUGUAUGAAAUAGGUCGCGGCAUCUUCACCUCGGCUCCAUUUGAUAAAGGAGAAGAAUAUAGAGGUUAACUAAUAAACCAUAAAGAAUGUCAGAGGAGACAGACUUUUUCUCCUUUACUGCGAAUGAGCUGACAUUCUAGCAAGGAAAAAAUGGUGGGUCCAGAAGAGGGACAAAGAGAGCGUGGUCUAAAGUUGAGGUUCAAGCAGUAAUGCGGCACUUCAAAGACCCAUAUUCGUAAAGGUCACCUGGCCACCAAGAACGAAUGCAGUCACUGCAAGUUGGUGGAAGGACCCGUCUUGGAACAAAGAACUGUGCAAAAUGUCAGAGAGUUCGUCCGUAAUCGGAACAGCUGAAAAAAGACUGUAAACAAACAUACACUUAUUUUAUUUGUUCUACAUCCUUUUAUCCCACGGCACGGGCAGUCUUCUAAUCUGUUGACAUACAAAGGUAUACAAGCACAUGUCAUUCACCUCAUCAUAAUGUAAUAAUACUCUAAUACUGUCAAGAGACGUCAUAAAUUCUUAAUGGCUGAAAUCUUCAAGUUUGUACACGUUUUCCCCUUCAUUGUCUUGAGGUAAGUUUCCAUAGUGCGGUGAAAGAAAUGUUCAUUAUGUAUGUCUUGCCCAUCGCUCUGUCGUUCUUUUCGGUUGUUUGUUAAACAGGACUUGUUUUACAAAAGCACUAGUCUGGCUCCUCAGUUUGUAUGAUAAACGGACUAUAGUGCUUUUGUAUGAAACAAUUGUUUACAAAAGCACUAUCGUCCGUUUGUAUGAAACAAUUGUUUACAAAAGCGCACUAGUCUGGUUCCUUGUGUCCUGAGUGGGACAGUAGUAAAAAAAUAACCCCAGCUCGUUGUUAAAUGAAAGCCAGAGAUUGAAGCCAGGUUGUAGAGGCACUCGCUGAUUCCCUCUGCAUAGAUGGAUCUUUAGAUAGUAUAGAUCGAUUUCUACACAUACUGUCACUUUGGAGGGGCCUAAUUUGGCCAUCCGUUAACAUUAUUUUUUAUAUUAAAUUGAUGGUUCCAGUAAUGCUGUGUCCUGUCUGUGUGUAUUUAUGUUAAUGAGGUGGGCGGGAUCAUUGUCCCUUCAAAGACCCAACAGUGUUUUUUUGGUCCUUAUAAGUCAUACUUUGGUCAAAAUAGAAAUGUCUACCUAUACCACAGUAUAAUUAGGUUGCUGUGUAUGAGGUUGUGUAGUUUGUAUCUGAAAUCUAAAGUGAGCUGAGUGACUACAACCGGGCCUGUAUGGCGAAAAGUCCACCUAAUGCAUACCUGUGUGUGUGUGUGUGUGUGUGUGUGUGUGUGUGUGUGUGUGUGUGUGUGUGUUGGGUGCGCCGCUGAGCACAGGGGGGAGGAGCGGGAGUUACGCACACAGCAAGCACACGAACAGGAGAGAGGGAGGCGAGUCACAAGAGAGCAACGGACGUUGGUCUAUGAAUUGAUGAAGAACUGGCCAAAAUGAUUACAUGUGAUUUCCAACCAAAGCUGAGGCACUUGGUCUUGAUGUAAAUCUCAGUUUUUUUUUCUUGUGUGUAUAAAAUAAGUAUUUAUAUAAUCAUUUGAUAGUGGGGUUUUUUACAUUAGUAAUUCAUAUUGCGCAUAAUUUUACAUUAUUGUUGGUGAUAAAUUAAUUUAAGAAUCAGAAGAGCCAUUUGGGAGCCGAACGAGAUUCUCUAAAAAGAGCCGGAAUUCCCAUUGCUAGUAUGUUGUGUUCAAUUGUAUUUUGCAUGCUGCUGUUCUUCUAUUUUAUAAUCUUGUGUUUUCUUUUUGCUGUUUUCCUCAGUUGUUUUGUUUGCUGUGUUAAGUCAACGUGCCUGUUUUUUAUAAUGAUUUGUGCCUACCUUGGUUUUUAUUGUUUUCUCUAAUACAACCUUUUUUCUUAAUUACAACAAACAUGUCUCUGCCUUAUCCACAGUAACUCAUUUGCGUAGGUAUUUAAAUCUAUAUUUCUUGGGCUGUAAGUCCCCAGGUGGCGUCACAGUUACAUUGGUGGUUCUUGUUCUCAAUAACUGUUAGCAGGCUAAAACCACAAAACUUCAGAGACAGAUGUGCCUGGAGAUGAAGACCGAAUAUCUUGUUAGGCGCACAGCUAACUGGCACCCCAAGCAACCAGUCGUACCGUUACUAGCAGUCCCUUUAAGAGAGACAGUAGUUUUGUCCCAAUUUCGCUAGGCUGCAUCAUUAGGCUGCAGAUACGUCACUUCAGCUGCGACUCGCCUGUUCGCCAUUCAGUCGACUUCUCCAAACACGGUCGAGGAAUGCUGCCGAUUUGGAGGACACAUCGGGCAUACCCCAUCAUGCAAUGCGAGCCAAUGCGUUCGAAGGUGAGGUGACUAUCAAAGAUGAUGCCGAGGUGACAGACAGAGGCGUGCAAUGUUUUUGAGAUGGAAGAAUGCAGUCCUGGUGAUGUUAUUGAUGUGACGUUACAAAGGUGAGGUGACUAUCAAAGAUGAUGCCGAGGUUACGGAUGUGGGGGGAGGGAGACCGAGUGGAGUUUUCAAUGUUGAUGGCGAGGUUAUGGUGAGGGAUUUGGCAUCGAUGAUGAAAUAUCCUUUGUCACAGUUGAGUUUGAGAAAGUUUAUUUGUAUCCAGGAUUUAAUUUCACUGAGACAGUUGGUGAGGGUGGAGAUUGUAGCAGGGGUGAUGGAGGUAGUGGGAAAGUUGGAUGUCGUCGGCGUAGCAGUGGAAGCGGAGUCCAUGACUGCGUAUGAUGUUGCCGAGGGGAAGCAGGUAAAGGAUGAACAGAAGGGGGACCAAGCACCGAAACCCUGGGGGACGUCUUGGGACAAAGGGGCAGGGGAGGAGGUGCAGUUGUUGGUCAGUGAGGUAAGAUCUGAGCUUGGAGAGGAGAGUGCUGGUGAUACUGGUGGUGGAUUCAAGCAGUGUUAAUUUUGGCAGCUCUUUUUGAUUUUUGAACUCAGACAUUUUAGUCUAGUUUUAGUCAACAAAAACUAAACUAAAAUGUAAUUUGUUUUAGUCUAGUUUUAGUCACAUUUAUUAGCCAUAUUAAACUCCUUUUUUCCCCUUCUCAGGCCCAGGGACCCCCUGUGUUGUGUCUACAACUGCAUAAUAGUCUACCUUGCAGUACUUGGAUGUCCAUUAGAUGUCCCUCCUAGGACAGGUCUAUAGCAGGGGUCGGCAAACUUUUUGACUCGCGGGCCACAAUGGGUUGUAAAAUUUGACGGAGCCGGGCCAAGAACAAAUGGUUGAAGUGUUUGUGUGAGCGAAUAUAAAUAAAUAAACAUGUGAAAAAUCAUUAUAUGAAAGGAUUUGGAUUUUAACAAAUAGCAAACGAACGUACGGUCACGAUGUGGCGUGUUAACUGCAGUUGAAAUGCGUGAGGCUUCAGAACCUGCAAUGAGUUUAUUAUGUGAAGCCUGUAACGGACCGUCUCAUCCAGCCGAGGAAACGCUGCCUGCCGUCGCCAGAGAACAGAGCAGAAAGGUCCGCGUGGAUCUCUGCUGGCCGACAGUCUGUUCAACGGGUCUUCAUGUUUCUCUGAAGCAGCCUGCUAACAGUCAGCUAAACUAAUGAAGCGCACAUUCAAACUCGCCGAAGCGUAAAAUAGUUGUUGCGGCCCGUAGUCGGACAAGAACUACUGCUGCACCAAUUUGAACCCGUUCUGGGUUCGUGGAUGACGUCAUCAUGACACGUUAAUAUCCGCCGUAUGUGCAUGUCUGUUGUCUGUUAGCUGCGUAUGAAUUUAGGGGGAAAAAGUAUUGUGACUUCGUCAACCACCAACAUGUUCGUCUCGUCUCGUUAACGAAAGUUAGAAUAGAUUGUCAUAGUUUUUAUUUUUUAAGAUAGUUUUCGUCACGUCUUAGUCAUGGAAAAAAGGUUUGUUAACGAAAAAAGGGAGAGAAUUGAGUGGUUAACGAUUGUCGUGGUCGAUGGCUCCAGCAGCUUUGCAAAAGGCUGCGUGUAUUCAACCAAGCGGUUGCAGCAAACUUAUUAAGUACACCGUUCAGUUAACUUAAAGCCAUUUAAAAUAUAUUUCUGGAAGUGGUAAUGACAUAAGCCAUCCAACAUGAGCUAGGUGAAGGGAGAACAUUGAUGUUAGCUGAAUAUUACAUAGCAUUAAAAGUUGAUUACAAUUUCAAUGACCUGAAAAUGGUCAUCUCUCAGCCUGAAGUACAUCAUGCGGCGGGGAUGACCGUCUUCCAAAAUCAAAUAAACCUAAAAAGAGCGCAGAUGGUUUAUGAGCGACAUGAGAAAUUAAGUACAGCUGUUGACGCAAGCAGGAAGUCCCCCUGUAGGCCAGACCGUCUCAUUUUGUCGACCAGGUCUACCGAGAAGGCUGGAGAUUACAAGGAUCCAGUUUAGCGACAUUGAGACACUGCUAUUGUUAUGCUAUAUGGAGGCCAAAAAAAAAAGAUCUGCUUGUUCUGUACAGUAGGAUUUUAAUAAAAGUUGCAAAAUGAAGAUGGAAAUUUAUUUUUGGACACACUGGCAUUAAAACCUGAUUGUCAGAAAUAUUAAACCAUGAAGCAGAGAGAAAGUAGCCAAUCGUAUGCAACGAUUGUAUGUCACCAAUACCUUCCAGCUGUGCUUGAAAGUCAUUUUGACUUUAGGCAAUUUCACCAUGUGAGGAAACACACUUUCAAAAAGCCCCCCUGAAAAAACAGAUUAUUGAAUAAUUCAUGCCAUUACAUUAUUAAUCAGCAGUAGAUUUUCCUGAAUGGUUACUGUUGUCUCGCACUCUAUUGCUGUUCUUAGGUGACAAAAUGCUGCACUCAAAGCUUUUUAGAGGAUAUCUUAUGACGAGGAAGGGUCAAUGGAACUCUUCUGAACUUUUUAUGGAGGGCACAAUCUCAGCCGGUCCCCCCUCAUCAACCCAUAAUCAUCUUUUUAUAGUGGCUUUCUUUUGGGACUGUCUCAAAUCUACUUUGCUGUAACUCACAUUACGAUUGCCCGUCAUCCAGUUUUUAUUACUUCUCCAUUAGAGUAAAUGUUUAAUUCGUCCUUGUCGCUGCAAGACAUCUAAAGGGUUGUGGGCACUCAACUCAACAACAGCCUCUUUUUAGAGGGAAGGAGCCGAUAAGCUGACUUGUACUGUCAGUAUCAGUCAUCAGAGGGUUGUCUGCAGUGCAAAAGAUGACUUUAUCUGAUUUGUCAUCCAUACGGGGUGGUGCCAGCAUCAUUGCGCUGCCUGUGGUGAACGCUCUGCCUCGUGCAGGCUACCGUUUCUGUUUAGGUCACUAAAUCCUAAACUGACUUCAUUCCAGGACUCUGGAUUGUGGGCGACUGUGGGUGAGUGGGGCGCACGGUCGUCCUCCAAUCAGAGGGUUGUCGGUUCGAUCCCAGGCUAACCUGCAUGGUGUUGUGUCCUUGGGCAAGGCACUAAACCCAACAUUGCUCCUGUAGCUGUGACUACAGUGUGUGAAUGGUAGUUACUGAUGGCAGGUAUCACUGUGUAUGGUUCUCCUGUCAUCAGUGUAUGAAUGGGUGUGAAUGGGUGAAUGAUGUCAUGUAGUGUUAAAGCGCUUUGAGUGGUCAGAAGACUAGAAAAGCUCUAUACAAGUACACAUGACAUGAUUAAUGAUGAUUUCAUGUUAAUCAUGAAAUCAUGUUGGAAGUAGAGAUGCUCCGAUCAGAUCGGAGCAUCUCUAGUUGGAAGUAACCCAGACCUUUAAUAAGUCAAGUCAUAAGACCGUAGAGACCUGUGAAAAUACCUCACUUUCAUCAGUCAUCUCUAAAUCAGACACAAUCACAUCAAGUUCACAAUAGGAAAGUCAGUGAUCAUGCCUACGGUGUGUGUGUGUAUGUAUGUAUGUGUGUGUAUAUAUAUAUGUAUGUAUGUGUGUGUAUAUAUAUAUGUAUGUAUGUGUGUGUAUAUGUAU
ensembl:lncRNA